rnacentral:rRNA from 1 species
UGGGAAUUUUGGACGAAUUGGGCGAAAGCCUGAUCCAGCAAUGCCGCGUGUGUGAAGAAGGCCUUCGGGUUGUAAAGCACUUUUGUCCGGAAAGAAAUCCUUGGCUCUAAUACAGUCGGGGGAUACGGUACCGGAAGAAUAAGCACCGGCUAACUACGUGCCAGCAGCCGCGGUAAUACGUAGGGUGCAAGCGUUAAUCGGAAUUACUGGGCGUAAAGCGUGCGCAGGCGGUUUGCUAAGACCGAUGUGAAAUCCCCGGGCUCAACCUGGGAACUGCAUUGGUGACUGGGCAGGCUAGAGUAUGGCAGAGGGGGGUAGAAUUCCACGUGUAGCAGUGAAAUGCGUAGAGAUGUGGAGGAAUACCGAUGGCGAAGGCAGCCCCCUGGGCCAAGUACUGACGCUCAUGCACGAAAGCGUGGGGGAGCAAAC